AUCCACCACCAUGGUAGGAUGAUGAUACUCUAUGUCCUGUACUUUGAGGGUCCCCCUUGUGAUUGCUGUUCUCUGCUUUUUGAUGGCAGGUGUUUGGGCCUGUGAGUCCAGUUCUCUACAAUGAUCCACCCUUAGUCAGGAGCUAUUUUCUGUUUUUCAAAAUGAUAAAGGAAGGCUGAGUCUUGGAUACAGCCCAUCUUUACAUCUCUAGCUCCUUGCUUGGUGUCCAGGACUUAAAAGAAAAUGCAUUUGAUGCAACCUGGAAAGCGCUCACAGGCCUAGGUUGAACGUCCUUCUGCCUUUGCUGUGUUGUGGUUCUGAUGAGUUACCUCCACACUCACAGGGUCAGACAGCUGCUGAACAUCGUUAGACGUGCCCAGUCCAUGUGGACUCUCCUGUCACAGACACAGUGUGCCUUUGCGGCCACCACAGCCAUCCUCAUUAGCACAUAUUUUUAUCUUCUCAGUCUUGGGGAUGCACUCAAAUGCUCGCUGACCAAAUGUUCCUAUAAAUAACACCUCAGAUCGUCA
rnacentral:lncRNA from 1 species